rnacentral:lncRNA from 1 species
UGAAACCGAAAAUAAAUCGGUGUUCUUCUUCUUCACCGGUUCGAUUUUUCUUUCCCUCUUCUUCUUCUUCAAAAAACGCCUCUGCGAUCGUGCUUGAGUUUGCCGCUUUCAGUGGUGAAUUCGCACUCGAAUUGCAGAGCAAAACGAUUCAGUGAUGAAGAUUCUUUGAUGAAUCUCUGAGAAUCGGAGAAAAACUGAUGAAUCUGUUGAAUUUGAGUUCUGGAAAAUUUUAGGGUUUUUUAGUUUGUUCUUGGUGAUUUUUCUGUUUUGAUCUAACAGAAAAGAGAGAGAAAAUUGAAAUCUGUUUUUGGUGAUGUGUCAAUGAUUGUGUGGAUCUGUGCAGAAUAAUGCUAUUUAUAGACUGCCAUGUGUAUCUGAGAACCAAUGAAAAAAAGACAUCUGUUUUGGGACUGAUGUGGAUCGAAAAUCUGGACUAAAAUGCCCCUGGGACCUUUCUGCAAAAUAAAAAACUUGAAGGACUGGACAACAAUUAAAAAUGGACUAAAAUGAAAUUUUUUAAAAGUUUUGGACCAAAACGUGAUUAAAAAUAAAAUUGGACUAAAAAGUAAAUUUGACGAAACGUAAAGCGAAACCAAAAAUAAAAUGAACAAAAGGACUAAAACGAACCAAUUACUGACAUGAGG